UGGGGAAUUUUGGACAAUGGGGGCAACCCUGAUCCAGCCAUCCCGCGUGUGCGAUGAAGGCCUUCGGGUUGUAAAGCACUUUUGGCAGGAAAGAAACGUCAUGGGCUAAUACCCCGUGAAACUGACGGUACCUGCAGAAUAAGCACCGGCUAACUACGUGCCAGCAGCCGCGGUAAUACGUAGGGUGCAAUCGUUAAUCGGAAUUACUGGGCGUAAAGCGUGCGCAGGCGGUUCGGAAAGAAAGAUGUGAAAUCCCAGAGCUCAACUUUGGAACUGCAUUUUUGACUGCCGGGCUAGAGUGUGUCAGAGGGAGGUGGAAUUCCGCGUGUAGCAGUGAAAUGCGUAGAUAUGCGGAGGAACACCGGUGGCGAAGGCAGCCUCCUGGGAUAACACUGACGCUCAUGCACGAAAGCGUGGGGAGCAAACAGG
rnacentral:rRNA from 1 species